GCCCAGGUAGCUCAGUCGGUUAAGCGUCUGACUUCGGCUCAGGUCAUGAUCUUGUGGUUCGUAGGUUCAAGCCCUGCAUCGGGCU
rnacentral:tRNA from 1 species